rnacentral:sRNA from 1 species
GCUGGGCAUGGUGGCGCACACCUGUAAUCCCAGCAUCUCCGGAGGCUGAGGCAGGAGGAUAGUGAGUUCAAAGCCAGCCUCAGCAUCUU